GGCCCCCCAGCACCCCUGCCUGCUGUGUACCUGGUGAUCCCAAUAACAACCUGCAAAACCCCUGAGGGCUCCAGGACUCCUCCUUUACCCGGUCUGCUGGAUCCUAGAAAACCUGCUCAGUGUCCAUUCCUGACCUUACACCUGUUGUGAGAGACUUGGCGGCCCACAGCUUAACUGCUCCGGGUGCACAACCUCACGGCGGCGAAGGUGGGCCACCUACACACACCUGACUGGUUUGAGGCUCUUAAAAGGCUGCUCCCGGGGUUUCGGCGCAACUGCAGGCUUGGCCUAGUCCAAGGAUGGCUUCACUGCUGGCUCGACCCUUCAUCCCGCCGGAAUCCGCCUGUCUCCCCCCAGUCACCGCCGCUGACCUCUCCGCCAGGGCGCAGCCCAUUGCUUGGGUUUCUCUGAACAACCCGGAGAAAGACAUCAUCCAAUUCAAAUGCAGUGCAUUGCAAGAUUUAAGAUUUUGAAAAGGGAAGAUGCAGUUCUAAUUUUUAAUCCAGAAGCAAAAACCAGCAGUCUUCAAGAGGAGCACACUUUUCAUCGUUUCUAGGCAAUUGGGGUAGAAUCUGAAAAACAUCGAAGAGGCUAAGUCUGUGUUUCCAGCAUACAUCCCUCCGAGUAAUCCGCAGAAGAGCCCCUGAGUGAUUUGGGCAGAGAUGACAAGCUGGAAAACAAGACCCAGCGAGAUAAAAAGGCGACGAGAAAUGCUUUUUCAGACACCGUGGCUUCUUGUGGCGGUUGGGGCUUCUGACAGC